rnacentral:rRNA from 1 species
AUAGCCUACCAAGGUAAUGAUCUAUAGCUGAUCUGAGAGGAUGAUCAGCCACACUGGAACUGAGAUACGGUCCAGACUCCUACGGGAGGCAGCAGUGGGGAAUAUUGGACAAUGGGCGAAAGCCUGAUCCAGCCAUGCCGCAUGAGUGAAGAAGGCCUUUGGGUUGUAAAGCUCUUUUAGUGAGGAAGAUAAUGACGGUACUCACAGAAGAAGUCCUGGCUAACUCCGUGCCAGCAGCCGCGGUAAUACGGAGAGGGCUAGCGUUAUUCGGAAUUAUUGGGCGUAAAGGGCGCGUAGGCUGGUUAAUAAGUUAAAAGUGAAAUCCCGAGGCUUAACCUUGGAAUUGCUUUUAAAACUAUUAAUCUAGAGAUUGAAAGAGGAUAGAGGAAUUCCUGAUGUAGAGGUAAAAUUCGUAAAUAUUAGGAGGAACACCAGUGGCGAAGGCGUCUAUCUGGUUCAAAUCUGACGCUGAAGCGCGAAGGCGUGGGGAGCAAACAGGAUUAGAUACCCUGGUAGUCCACGCUGUAAACGAUGAAUGUUAAAUAUGGGGAGUUU